CAAGCGAACAAGUGCAUGUGGUGGAUGCCUUGGCGAUCACAGGCGGAUGAAGGACGCGGUAGCCUGCGAAAAGCCCCGGGGAGCUGGCAAACAAGCUUUGAUCCGGGGAUGUCCGAAUGGGGAAACCCACUCCGUAUGGAGUAUCCAUGACUGAAUACAUAGGUCAUGUGAAGCGAACGCGGUGAACUGAAACAUCUAAGUAACCGCAGGAAAAGAAAUCAACCGAGAUUCCCAAAGUAGUGGCGAGCGAAAUGGGAUGAGCCUUGUACUCUUUAUUUGUAUUGUUAGCCGAACGCUCUGGAAAGUGCGGCCAUAGCAGGGUGAUAGCCCUGUAGGCGAAAACAGUAUGAAAGAACUAGGUGUACGACAAGUAGGGCGGGACACGUGAAAUCCUGUCUGAAGAUGGGGGACCAUCCUCCAAGGCUAAAUACUCGUGAUCGACCGAUAGUGAACCAGUACCGUGAGGGAAAGGCGAAAAGAACCCCGGGAGGGGAGUGAAAUAGAUCCUGAAACCGCAUGCAUACAAACAGUCGGAGCCUCUUUAUGGGGUGACGGCGUACCUUUUGUAUAAUGGGUCAGCGACUUACGUUCAGUAGCAAGCUUAACCGUAUAGGGCAGGCGUAGCGAAAGCGAGUCCGAAUAGGGCGUUCAGUUGCUGGGCGUAGACCCGAAACCAGGUGAUCUAUCCAUGGCCAGGAUGAAGGUGCGGUAACACGUACUGGAGGUCCGAACCCACUAACGUUGAAAAGUUAGGGGAUGAGCUUGUGGAUAGGGGUGAAAGGCUAAACAAACCUGGAAAUAGCUGGUUCUCUCCGAAAACUAUUUUAGGUAGUGCCUCGUGUCUCACCUUCGGGGGUAGAGCACUGUCAUGGUUGGGGGGUCUAUUGCAGAUUACCCCGCCAUAGCAAACUCCGAAUACCGAAGAGUGCAAUCACGGGAGACAGACAUCGGGUGCUAACGUCCGUGUGUCAAGAGGGAAACAACCCAGACCGCCAGCUAAGGUCCCCAAAAUAUGGCUAAGUGGGAAACGAAGUGGGAAGGCUAAAACAGUCAGGAGGUUGGCUUAGAAGCAGCCACCCUUUAAAGAAAGCGUAAUAGCUCACUGAUCGAGUCGUCCUGCGCGGAAGAUGUAACGGGGCUAAGCCAUAUACCGAAGCUGCGGAUGCGAGCUUGCUCGCAUGGUAGGAGAGCGUUCCGUAAGCCUGCGAAGGUGUCUUGUAAAGGAUGCUGGAGGUAUCGGAAGUGCGAAUGCUGACAUGAGUAGCGAUAAAGGGGGUGAAAGGCCCCCUCGCCGUAAGCCCAAGGUUUCCUACGCAACGUUCAUCGGCGUAGGGUGAGUCGGCCCCUAAGGCGAGGCAGAAAUGCGUAGCUGAUGGGAAGCAGGUCAAUAUUCCUGCACCCUGGUUAGAUGCGAUGGGGGGACGGAUCGCGGAAGGUUGUCCGGGUGUUGGACGUCCCGGUCGCUGCAUUGGAGAAGGCGCUUAGGCAAAUCCGGGCGCAGGAUUCAAGGGUGUGGCGCGAGCGACUUCGGUCGCGAAGCAAUUGGAAGUGGUUCCAAGAAAAGCCUCUAAGCUUCAGUCUAACGAUGACCGUACCGCAAACCGACACAGGUGGGCGAGAUGAGUAUUCUAAGGCGCUUGAGAGAACUCGGGAGAAGGAACUCGGCAAAUUGGUACCGUAACUUCGGGAUAAGGUACGCCCUUGUAGCUUGACUGGCCUGCGCCAGGAGGGUGAAGGGGUUGCAAUAAACUGGUGGCUGCGACUGUUUAAUAAAAACACAGCACUCUGCAAACACGAAAGUGGACGUAUAGGGUGUGACGCCUGCCCGGUGCCGGAAGAUUAAAUGAUGGGGUGCAAGCUCUUGAUUGAAGUCCCGGUAAACGGCGGCCGUAACUAUAACGGUCCUAAGGUAGCGAAAUUCCUUGUCGGGUAAGUUCCGACCUGCACGAAUGGCGUAACGAUGGCCACACUGUCUCCUCCCGAGACUCAGCGAAGUUGAAGUGUUUGUGAUGAUGCAAUCUACCCGCGGCUAGACGGAAAGACCCCAUGAACCUUUACUGUAGCUUUGCAUUGGACUUUGAACCGAUCUGUGUAGGAUAGGUGGGAGGCUAUGAAACCGGAACGCUAGUUUCGGUGGAGCCGUCCUUGAAAUACCACCCUGGUUUGUUUGAGGUUCUAACCUUGGUCCGUGAUCCGGAUCGGGGACAGUGCAUGGUAGGCAGUUUGACUGGGGCGGUCUCCUCCCAAAGGGUAACGGAGGAGUACGAAGGUACGCUAGGUACGGUCGGAAAUCGUGCUGAUAGUGCAAUGGCAUAAGCGUGCUUAACUGCGAGACCGACAAGUCGAGCAGGUGCGAAAGCAGGUCAUAGUGAUCCGGUGGUUCUGUAUGGAAGGGCCAUCGCUCAACGGAUAAAAGGUACUCUGGGGAUAACAGGCUGAUACCGCCCAAGAGUUCAUAUCGACGGCGGUGUUUGGCACCUCGAUGUCGGCUCAUCUCAUCCUGGGGCUGUAGCCGGUCCCAAGGGUAUGGCUGUUCGCCAUUUAAAGAGGUACGUGAGCUGGGUUUAAAACGUCGUGAGACAGUUUGGUCCCUAUCUGCCGUGGGCGUUGGAUAUUUGAAGGGGGCUGCUCCUAGUACGAGAGGACCGGAGUGGACGAACCUCUGGUGUACCGGUUGUGACGCCAGUCGCAUCGCCGGGUAGCUAUGUUCGGAAGAGAUAACCGCUGAAAGCAUCUAAGCGGGAAACUCGCCUUAAGAUGAGAUAUCCCUGGAGGCUUGACCUCCUUGAAGGGUCGUUCGAGACCAGGACGUUGAUAGGUCGGGUGUGUAAGCGCAGUAAUGCGUUCAGCUAACCGAUACUAAUUGCCCGUAAGGCUUGAUCC
rnacentral:rRNA from 1 species